CCUACGGGAGGCAGCAGUGAGGAAUAUUGGUCAAUGGGCGCGAGCCUGAACCAGCCAAGUCGCGUGAGGGAUGAAGGUUCUAUGGUUCGUAAACCUCUUUUAUCGGGGAGUAAAAUACGGCACGCGUCCCGCUUCGCAUGUACCUUAUGAAUAAGCAUCGGCUAACUCCGUGCCAGCAGCCGCGGUAAUACGGAGGAUGCGAGCGUUAUCCGGAUUUAUUGGGUUUAAAGGGUGCGUAGGCGGAUGUUUAAGUCAGCGGUAAAAUUGGGGGGCUAAACCUUGACGAGCCGUUGAAACUGGGUUGCUUGAGUAUGCGAGAGGUAGGCGGAAUGCGUGGUGUAGCGGUGAAAUGCAUAGAUAUCACGCAGAACCCCGAUUGCGAAGGCAGCAUGCCAAGGCACGACUGACGCUGAUGCACGAAAGUGUGGGGAUCGAACAGGAUUAGAUACCCUUGUAGUC
rnacentral:rRNA from 1 species